rnacentral:rRNA from 1 species
AUGGCGCCGUGCUCAUCCUUCUUUACCUUGAACACCCACUUGAGCCCGAUGGCUCGGUGCCCAGCAGGCAGGGUGGUGAAUGUCCAAGUGGCGUUGUUGUUGAUCGACGCCAGCUCGUCCAGCAUCGCAUGGCGCCAAAAAUCCUCUUGCUCGGCCUCCGUGAACAUGGUUGGUUCCUCGCCGGCCAUCAGAUGCAGGACGUCGUUGUCAUCAACAUCCUCGUCCUCGGGCUAUUGUGAGUGUUGCCGCAGCCUCGCCGAGGAGAUCCUCCAUGCGCCGAAACCUAUGGGGAGCACCAACGUUGUCGUCGGCAUCGAACAACUCCGACCUCGCCGUUGGCGGGGUUGCGAACUGCCUCCCGGGAACCACCUUGCUUGA